rnacentral:tRNA from 1 species
AAGGUACUAGUUAAACAGCCAUAACAUUUCUUUGUCAGGGAAAAAUAGUAAGUUAAAAUCUUGCGUACUUUA